ensembl:snRNA U6 U6 spliceosomal RNA
AUACUUCGACAGCAUGUAUACUAAAGUAGUAAUGAUACAGAGAUUAGUAAGGCCCCUGCAUGAGGAUGACAUGAAGAUUUUGUGAAAUGUUCCAUAUUAUU